GUGAGGAAUAUUGGUCAAUGGGCGGGAGCCUGAACCAGCCAAGUCGCGUGAAGGAAGAAGGAUCUAUGGUUCGUAAACUUCUUUUGCAGGGGAAUAAAGUGCAGGACGUGUCCUGUUUUGUAUGUACCCUGAGAAUAAGGAUCGGCUAACUCCGUGCCAGCAGCCGCGGUAAUACGGAGGAUCCGAGCGUUAUCAGGAUUUAUUGGGUUUAAAGGGUGCGUAGGUGGUUUGAUAAGUCAGCGGUGAAAGUUUGCAGCUUAACUGUAAAAAUGCCGUUGAAACUGUCGGACUUGAGUGUAAAUGAGGUAGGCGGAAUGCGUGGUGUAGCGGUGAAAUGCAUAGAUAUCACGCAGAACUCCGAUUGCGAAGGCAGCUUACUAAGCUACAACUGACACUGAAGCACGAAAGCGUGGGGAUCAAACAGGAUUAGAUACCCUAGUAGUCC
rnacentral:rRNA from 1 species